rnacentral:lncRNA from 1 species
GCUGUUGGCUGCAUCUCGACGCGAUGCCUUUCAUUUACAAAACGGAAAUCAAGUUCAAAGACACCAAGCAACUCAGAACAGCUUUCCAGCAACUUUAUCAACUGGUGUUUCUCCAAGUGUCCACCGCACCAGAACACCCUGGGGUGCUUUUGAAAGCACACUUGAGUCUUCUGCACACUGGGGUUUGGGAGCCCUAGUGGGGAAUUCCAGAAUAGGAGCUUAUAAUUUGCAACAAGAACAAGGCGGGAGAAGCCUAGUGUGCUGCCCCACUCCACCCUCCGCCGCUGUGGACGCACUCGCUGUGGGGCCAGGAGUGAAAGUCCUCCUGGGGCAAGGCUCAGCAAGGCCGGGGCAUCCUCAGGGACCUGCCGUUGAGUGCCAGGAAGGCCUUGACCCAAGAACGGGACUUGAGUGCAGGAAACAGGCGGGAGAGAGGUAGACAUUGACCAUUUGGCUGAUGGCGUUUAUGCUUCUGGAGGCCCCUGGCCCCUCUGAGAACAUGAUGAGAGCCGCAGUCUUUUCUCACAAGUAGGGGCACAGGUCGGGCAGCUAGGCCCUAUGACCAUUCCGGAAAGAAAGGAGGAAGCUGGAGCCACUGGCCCGAUCACAGUCCGGCAUGUCCCUCUCAUUGGCCUCACUAUGAGCAGAGGAUGGAAAAGCCAGAAAGAAGCCCAGCUGUCAAAGCUCCAGGCCCUGAGCUCGGCCCCCAGCUGGGAUCCCGCCGCUGGCAUCAGGGAAGCUUCCAGGCCCCAGAGCCUGCAAAGGCCCCAGAGCCUGCAAAGACCCCAGGCCCUGAUAUUUAAUGCAUGGGAAGGCUCUGCUUCCCUGCCUUUGAGACAUUCCAGGCCUUUCCAGAGCCCACCCAGGACUUAAAUAAGCACCCCACAGGGACGGUGAGCCUCCAGAACUAAAAUAAACUUAAAUAAUAUCCCAGAAAAUUGUAAAUUGUGUAUUUAGGAAUUGGAAUGUAGGAGGCAGGGUUUUCUCUUCCUCUAUUAUAGCUUUCGUGAAAGAGAAACAAAUAAUAACGCUCCCCCAGGCUAAAGUUAGAGUCGACGUAUAGUUUACACCGGAAAAUAUAC